GACGAACGCUGGCGGCGUGCUUAAUACAUGCAAGUCAACUUGACUUUAGAUAGCAAUAUCGAAAAGUAGGGUGGCGCACGGGUGCGUAACGCGUAGGUAAUCUGCCCUGAGGUCUGACAUAACCCGUCGAAAGGCGGGCUAACAUCAGAUGAUAUAUAAUCACGACAUCGUGGAAAUAUCAAAUCUUCGGAGCCUUGGGAUGAGCCUGCGUCUGAUUAGGUAGUUGGCGGAGUAAUAGCCCACCAAGCCUACGAUCAGUAGCUGGUCUGAGAGGAUGAUCAGCCACACUGGAACUGAGACACGGUCCAGACUCCUACGGGAGGCAGCAGUAAGGAAUAUUGCUCAAUGGGGGAAACCCUGAAGCAGCAACGCCGCGUGAAGGAUGAAAUACUUUGUAUGUAAACUUCUGUAAGA
rnacentral:rRNA from 1 species